UCCUCGAUGGUCUAGUGGUCAUGAGUAAGUCAAUCAACUCAUCAGCUAGUUGUUCGUCAUCUAACAGUCAAUUCAGUUUCCGCUUGUCAUUUCACAAUAACGAGCGCGGGAGACCAGGGUUCGAUUCCCUGUCGGGGAG